GUUCUGACCUAUAGAAUUCCAGGGACUGUCUAGUUCCCGGGGUCGCAAAGAGUGGGACAGGACUGAGCGACUUGCACUUUCACUUCACACUGUAAGCAGACACAUCUGGUAACGUCUUUGGGUCCCAGAAGAAGAACCCUGAUUUUAUUGGGAUGGCAGUCAGCCAGCUAAAAGCUCUCAGCUUCCUGAAGUCCCUGUGACAGCCAGGAGCGGCCAUGUGAUCCAGUGUGGAUACGAGCUAGAGAGACAAUGGCCAUCUUGUAACCACGACCAACCGUGAGGACAAGAAGGCCAAGUGAAGAAACAGGAAAGAACCUGGGCCCCUCGUGGCAUCAUCGAGGCACCCCAUCAGCCCAAGACGCUUACUGCUGGGCUUAGUAACAGGAGAUGAUAGAAACUUACCAGUGGUGAGAUUCGUGUUACUUGCAGCUGAAUGCAUGCCUGCUGGAUCCACUCCCCUGCCUCUGGAUUUCUAAACUCAUGAGAAAAUACAUUUCCUUAAUGAUUAAGCAUUUUGCACUGGGUUUCCUGUCCUUGCAGUUGAAUGCAUCCUAGAGUAUCCUGCAUUUUGCAGUGAGGUGACUUCUGAUAAAUGAGAUAUGCCUGAUCUUGGACUUGACCGACAUGGAUAGGGGGGCAGGGAUCCCUCCCACGCCUGCUGGAG